rnacentral:lncRNA from 1 species
GCCCUCUGCUGCCUGCUUGGGCACAAUGAAAAAGCACCAGUAAGAAAUUUGGCUUGUAUGCUUUUGACCUGAAACUUGAGUAAAGCAAUUCAGUGACAUCUUUUAAAAUAGCUCUUUUUAUAUGGUAAGGUUUUUGUCUGAAAACAAUUUCUUAUACAAAGGUUUCUAAAAAAUACUACAGAAAGUGUUAAUGUAUGUUUUACUGUAAGCAGUAUUUGCAAAUUUAAAUACUUUUUUUUUUUUUUUUAUUUCUGCUCUCUUGAGAAUCCAAGCCAUACUCCAUGCAGAGAAACACUGGAGCAGCAGAAAUUUUGAGGAGUAUUUUUCCUUUUGUCAGUGAUAAAGCAUAAAAUUCAUGCUUUCUUCACACUGAAGAGAUCGUCUGGAGAGAAAGCAGCAUCUGACGUUAUUCCAUCUUCAGAAUGUGAACAGACCGACUGGACACUACUACAGAAACUCCACAGGUUGUUUUGGGUAAAAAAAAGUGAGAACCUAAG